CAACUGUCGGAGCUUGUUCAUCAUGAAAGCUCGUCCGGAAUCCAUCCACUGUGGAAGCUCGGACGGAGUCUGAUUCUUGUGGGAGGCCGAAAGGAGGCUGCUUAUUGUUGGAGCUCGGUCGAAGAUCGGUUGUCAUGGGAGCUCGGAGUAACGACCUGGCCAGUGGAUCCUACCUCAUGGUAGAAGCUCGUCUGGGAUCCGGCCAUGAAGAAGCUCGGCUGAAGGCUACCUGUAAUGAAAGUUUGGAAGAAAUCUCUUUACAGUAGAGGUCCGCAUGAAAUUUGCUUACAAUAGAGAUCCAGGGU
rnacentral:lncRNA from 1 species